GUUUGAUCCUGGCUCAGGAUGAACGCUGGCGGCGUGCCUAACACAUGCAAGUCGAGCGAAGCGCUUAUCUUGGAUUUCUUCGGAAUGACGAGAUCUGCGACUGAGCGGCGGACGGGUGAGUAACGCGUGGGUAACCUGCCCUGUACAGGGGGAUAACAGUUAGAAAUGACUGCUAAUACCGCAUAAGCCCACAGCUUCGCAUGAAGCGGUGGGAAAAACUCCGGUGGUACAGGAUGGGCCCGCGUCUGAUUAGCUAGUUGGUGAGGUAAGAGCUCACCAAGGCGACGAUCAGUAGCCGACCUGAGAGGGUGACCGGCCACAUUGGGACUGAGACACGGCCCAAACUCCUACGGGAGGCAGCAGUGGGGAAUAUUGCACAAUGGGGGAAACCCUGAUGCAGCGACGCCGCGUGAGCGAUGAAGUAUUUCGGUAUGUAAAGCUCUAUCAGCAGGGAAGAAAGUGACGGUACCUGACUAAGAAGCCCCGGCUAACUACGUGCCAGCAGCCGCGGUAAUACGUAGGGGGCAAGCGUUAUCCGGAUUUACUGGGUGUAAAGGGAGCGUAGACGGCGAAGCAAGUCUGAAGUGAAAGCCCAGGGCUCAACCCUGGGACUGCUUUGGAAACUGUUGACCUAGAGUGCUGGAGAGGUAAGUGGAAUUCCUAGUGUAGCGGUGAAAUGCGUAGAUAUUAGGAGGAACACCAGUGGCGAAGGCGGCUUACUGGACAGUAACUGACGUUGAGGCUCGAAAGCGUGGGGAGCAAACAGGAUUAGAUACCCUGGUAGUCCACGCCGUAAACG
rnacentral:rRNA from 1 species